rnacentral:rRNA from 1 species
UACGUAGGGUGCGAGCGUUGUCCGGAAUUAUUGGGCGUAAAGGGCUCGUAGGCGGUUUGUCACGUCGGGAGUGAAAACUCAGGGCUUAACCCUGAGCCUGCUUCCGAUACGGGCAGACUAGAGGUAUGCAGGGGAGAACGGAAUUCCUGGUGUAGCGGUGAAAUGCGCAGAUAUCAGGAGGAACACCGGUGGCGAAGGCGGUUCUCCGGGCAUUACCUGACGCUGAGGAGCGAAAGUGUGGGGAGCGAACAGG